AUUGAACGCUGGCGGCAUGCUUUACACAUGCAAGUCGAACGGUAACAGGGUGCUUGCACCGCUGACGAGUGGCGAACGGGCGAGUAAUGCGUCGGAACGUGCCGAGUAGUGGGGGAUAACGCAGCGAAAGUUGUGCUAAUACCGCAUACGUACUGAGGUAGAAAGUGGGGGACCUUCGGGCCUCACGCUAUUCGAGCGGCCGACGUCUGAUUAGCUAGUAGGUGAGGUAAAGGCUCACCUAGGCGACGAUCAGUAGCGGGUCUGAGAGGAUGAUCCGCCAAACUGGGACUGAGACACGGCCCAGACUCCUACGGGAGGCAGCAGUGGGGAAUUUUGGACAAUGGGCGAAAGCCUGAUCCAGCCAUGCCGCGUGUCUGAAGAAGGCCUUCGGGUUGUAAAGGACUUUUGUCAGGGAGGAAAUCCCUAGUGCUAAUAACACUGGGGGAUGACAGUACCUGAAGAAUAAGCACCGGCUAACUACGUGCCAGCCGCCGCGGUAA
rnacentral:rRNA from 1 species